rnacentral:rRNA from 1 species
CGUGAGUGGCGGACGGGUGAGUAACGCGUGGGUAACCUGCCUCAUACAGGGGGAUAACAGUUGGAAACGGCUGCUAAUACCGCAUAAGCGCACAGUACCGCAUGGUACGGUGUGAAAAACUCCGGUGGUAUGAGAUGGACCCGCGUCUGAUUAGGUAGUUGGUGGGGUAACGGCCUACCAAGCCGACGAUCAGUAGCCGACCUGAGAGGGUGACCGGCCACAUUGGGACUGAGACACGGCCCAA